GUGCCAGCCGCCGCGGUAAUACCGGCAGCACGAGUGAUGGCCGAUAUUAUUGGGCCUAAAGCGUCCGUAGCUGGCCGGACAAGUCCGUUGGGAAAUCCACCCGCUUAACGGGUGGGCGUCCAGCGGAAACUGCACGGCUUGGGACCGGAAGGCUCGAGAGGUACGUCCGGGGUAGGAGUGAAAUCCCGUAAUCCCGAACGGACCACCGAUGGCGAAAGCAUCUCGAGAAAACGGAUCCGACAGUGAGGGACGAAAGCUAGGGUCUCGAACCGGAUUAGAAACCCCGGUAGUCC
rnacentral:rRNA from 1 species